UGCAGUCGUACGAGAGUUUUUAACUCAAGUGGCGGACGGGUGAGGAACACGCAUGAAUUUGCCUUUAGGAGGGGGACAACAACUAGAAAUGGUUGCUAAUACCCCAUAUGCUUUCGAGUGAAAUGGAUUUUUCCGCCUAAAGAGAAGCUUGCGGCUGAUUAGCUUGUUGGUGAGGUAAUGGCUCACCAAGGCGACGAUCAGUAUCUGGUUUGAGAGGAUGAUCAGACACACUGGAACUGAGGCACGGUCCAGACUCCUACGGGAGGCAGCAGUGGGGAAUUUUCCGCAAUGGGCGAAAGCCUGACGGAGCAAUACCGCGUGAGGGAUGACGGCCUAUGGGUUGUAAACCUCUUUUUUCAGGGAGGAAUCAAAUGACGUGUACCUGAAGAAUAAGCAUCGGCUAACUCCGUGCCAGCAGCCGCGGUAAGACGGAGGAUGCAAGUGUUAUCCGGAAUCACUGGGCGUAAAGCGUCUGUAGGUGGUCCAAUAAGUCAACUGUUAAAUCUUGAGGCUCAACCUCAAAAUCGCAGUCGAAACUAUUAGACUAGAGUAUAGUAGGGGUAAAGGGAAUUUCCAGUGGA
rnacentral:rRNA from 1 species